rnacentral:tRNA from 1 species
GCUUUCAUAGCUCAGUUGGUUAGAGCACCCAUUUAGUAAGCGGGAGAUCUAAGUUCAACUCUCAUUGAAAGCA